GAGUUUGAUCCUGGCUCAGAUUGAACGCUGGCGGCAUGCCUUACACAUGCAAGUCGAACGGCAGCACGGGAGCUUGCUCCUGGUGGCGAGUGGCGAGCGGGUGAGUAAUGCAUCGGAACGUAUCCUGGAGUGGGGGAUAACGUAGCGAAAGUUACGCUAAUACCGCAUAUUCUGUGAGCAGGAAAGCGGGGGACCUUCGGGCCUCGCGCUCUUGGAGCGGCCGAUGUCGGAUUAGCUAGUUGGUGAGGUAAAGGCUCACCAAGGCGACGAUCCGUAGCAGGUCUGAGAGGAUGAUCUGCCACACUGGAACUGAGACACGGUCCAGACUCCUACGGGAGGCAGCAGUGGGGAAUUUUGGACAAUGGGGGCAACCCUGAUCCAGCCAUGCCGCGUGAGUGAAGAAGGCCUCGG
rnacentral:rRNA from 1 species